UCAAGAGCAGCCUCAAGAACAUCUUUCGAAGCCACCAGGCCAGAAGCUCUUCUCAUGGCUGAAGAUGUGAAGGCUACCAGAGGGAAGCUGUCUUUCCUACAAAGGCUUGCCAGACUGAAAUUCAACUUAAAGCCAUUCAUGAUGGGAAACAAGAAGGAUUCCAAUAAGAAAUCCCGCCAUUCUGAAUCCAAAGACCAGACUACUGCUGAAGAUAUCAUGUUGGCACAUCCUGCCACAUUUGGACUCCCAGAGGGUCUUCCCUCCACCUCUCAACAGGAGAAGCCUCGCAAACGUCCCCUUCUAAUCAGGAUGUUUUCCACCAUCUCCAUAGGCCUAUCCAAGCCAUUCAAACGGUUUUCAAAGCAAGCUUAAUACAACAAUUUCCUUUAAUACAGUAAUAUUUGCAUU